UACGAAGGGGGCAAGCGUUGUUCGGAAUUACUGGGCGUAAAGGGCGCGUAGGCGGCCGAUCAAGUCAGGCGUGAAAUUCCCGGGCUCAACCUGGGGGCUGCGCUUGAUACUGAUUGGCUUGAAUGCGGGAGAGGAUAGUGGAAUUCCCAGUGUAGAGGUGAAAUUCGUAGAUAUUGGGAAGAACACCAGUGGCGAAGGCGGCUAUCUGGCCCGUUAUUGACGCUGAGGCGCGAAAGCGUGGGGAGCAAACAGG
rnacentral:rRNA from 1 species